CCCGCAGCCCUGUUGAUUCCGCCGCCCAGCCUCUCCUCCCUUUCCCAGUGCAUAGCUCACCCUCGUGCAAGCACCCCCACCUCACCAAUGGAGAUACGAUGGGAGCAAUGGGGUGCCGGUGAGGGGAGCAACGGGACGGAGGCGACUUGGGCGCGGCGGUCUGGCCAUUGCGCACGGUAGCCGCGGCUGCCGGGCGCGAGGAACGGAGGGAGGGGCGGUGCGGCCGCGGCGCCAGCCGCAUUGGGGCCUCCGCGUCGCCUGCUGGCCGCACCCGCUGGAGGCCGCGCUGGUCGUCCCGCGCCAGCCCCCCCGCGCCGCACCCACCGGAUCGAUGCCGCAUCGGGCCCCCGCGUCGCCUGCUGGCCGCAUCCGCCGGAGGCCGCGCCGUUCAUCUCGCGCCGGCCGCAUUCGCGCACGCGCCGCUGGGCUUGCUGCGCCGCACCUGUCGGAUCCGCAAGAGUCCCGCCGGUUUCCGCGACGCUGGGCUCGCCGGAGUCUGCGCCGCCCUCCUGGUUAGCCUGUGGAGAGCGGCGAGCUGCGGCCUGUGGAGAAGAGGACAAGCGUGGGAAGCUCCACCCCAACACAACCAAGGACGGCGAUCUGUAAGCGCCACGGGAGUUGAUGCCCCUCCAGCACCUCUGCUCCUCGACCUCAAGCACCACUUGCUUGUGGUGGUGGUGAUCCUCCUCCUGCAAGCACGGAAGCACCAAAGCGGAGGGAUCCCGAGCAAGAAGGUGACCGGCUCGGUGAUGUGCAGCUCCCCCGCGUCCUUGUGCAAUGUCCCAUGCAACAGGGUCUAGGAUGCUUCGGCUACUGCCCCAGGAGCUCUCCAGGGGCUAUUGACAUGGGUGAUGUCCAGUAGCUGCUCGAGGAAAUGCCUUUAUGAUCAUUGUGCCUCCAAAUUUGGAAGGAAAGAUCAUGCCCAUCACGGCGAGCUCUGGUGCCACCGCUCUCUGCCACUUGCUCGUGUGAUGGGCACUCUUGUACAAGGCCGGCAUGGGAAGCAAGGGCGCUGCGUCAGCAACAUCAUCUCCUACGCCAUCAACCUGGUGAUGCUGGCGCUGUACUCUGAAUGUGAGGCUGUCCAACGUGUGCAAAGAAACAUGGAAUGGAUUCUCCAGGGAGGCACUGAAGGACCUAUGCCAGUUUACUGGAUUGCCUUGCCGUCUGCAUUGAUAAUUUGGUGUGGAUUGGAAUACUUAAAUUUCAACAAUAUCCCCCUUUACAGCAUUAUUAUCUGAGUAUUUUUCCUUUGGAGGGGUUUCACAUAUGUUGGUCAUUCAAAUCUUGAUGUAACGAACUUUCAUUAUUUAUUAAUGAAAUUUUAGUUUUAUGCA